CCUACGGGAGGCAGCAGUGAGGAAUAUUGGUCAAUGGGCUUACGCCUGAACCAGCCAAGUCGCGUGAGGGAAGACUGCCCUAUGGGUUGUAAACCUCUUUUGUCAGGGAGCAACGCCGGCUACGUGUAGCCGGACUGAGAGUACCUGAAGAAAAAGCAUCGGCUAACUCCGUGCCAGCAGCCGCGGUAAUACGGAGGAUGCGAGCGUUAUCCGGAUUUAUUGGGUUUAAAGGGUGCGUAGGCGGAAUGCCAAGUCAGCGGUAAAAGCGCGGGGCUCAACCUCGCUCCGCCGUUGAACCUGGCGUUCUUGAGUGGGCGAGAAGUAUGCGGAAUGCGUGGUGUAGCGGUGAAAUGCAUAGAUAUCACGCAGAACUCCGAUUGCGAAGGCAGCAUACCGGCGCCCAACUGACGCUGAAGCACGAAAGCGUGGGUAUCGAACAGGAUUAGAUACCCCAGUAGUC
rnacentral:rRNA from 1 species